UUUGUAAUCUCUAAGCAAUUUUAGUUCAAGAAGAUAAAUUUUAAGAUCUGGGCUUAGGUUAGUGAGGGAUGUGAAUUAAGAUGAUUGGGCUGCCUGCUAGAUUUCUAGAAUGAUUGGAACAAGAUCCACCUAAGAGCUUUACAAAAAUCACAAAGUGCAUGCAUGAUAGAAAAUAGGGAUGAGCGUGGUACCGGUACCGUACCGAAUCGGUAUCGGUACCGAAAAUACCGAUACCGAAAUUCGCCAAAAUUGGGUACCGGUACGGUACCGGUAUUUAAAAGUAAAAUUCAGUAUUUUACCGGUGCCGUAUUGAACCGGUACCGAUAUCGAAAGUACCGAUACCGAAAAUGCCAAAAAGUUGGUACCGGUACCGAAACAAUUCGGUACGAGAAAUUCGGUACCGGUACCAGUACCAAAUGCUCAUCGCUAGCUUAGAGGACUCUUUGGAUGGCAAUUGUACCAAAUUGAAGUAUCACAUCCAUUACCAAUUCUACUAACACAAUGGACUUUAAUAUUAUCUCUGCAUUAUAAUAUUAUCAUCCCACCCGUUUUUGACAUGUAGUAAUUAUGGCAUAAGUAAGACCUGAUUCGAUACUUUCAUUUUUUUUCUGGAAUGAUUGAUGGUACUUAUAGGCUUAUAGCAAGACAACACACUUGCAAGGCUGAUUAUAUCAAUGGCCCAACAUAUUAAUUGAAGUCUGCUUGAGUUGGCCCAACAUAUUAACUGAACUACUGAAGUGUGCUCGUGAUGGCCUAACAUAUUAAUUAUAGUAUGCUUGUGAAUUGUGAUGGCCCGAUACAUGUGUAUAAGCAAUGGCCAAUUCAUUUUGUAUACAUCAAACAUAACUGAUGGUCAACACAUUUGGUAACAAGUACAAGUAACAAGGGUUGAUGUUUAGAAA